UGUUGCGACAGUAUCAGACUCUCUGGCUAGUGGCGACAGCCCUUACCUCCCUGGUGCUGCCAUCUCUUGCUGGCAGCAAGAAGCAACACGAAUCAUCAGGGGAGGUCAUAAUCAAUGCAGAUCCAGUCUGGAACAUCCGCCACGUCCUUCCUCCUCUGGAUCUCCAGAACAACUCAGUUAUCGACGUCAAAGUAAACGUCGGCGAUGUAGCCUAUUUGCCUUGUAGAUUUCCCAAGAUUUCUUCCACGCAUCUACUUGAGGUAUCCUGGAUAAGACGGUCUGACUGGCACAUCCUGACGACCGGGACUUACUCCUACACAUCUGACGUGAGAUUCAACGUCCUGCAUAAGGAAGGGUCCGACGACUGGACUUUGCAGUUGAAAUACGUAGACACCAGGGACAAUGGGACGUACGAA